UGCAGUAGGAAGGAAGCCCACAGGAGAGCUCUCUGAUUUGAGUGGCUUCUCCAGCAGUGGCUGUAUCUCCCCUUUGGCCCAGCUCCACGGGACAGGUCUGCUGCGGUGUCCCCUACUGUCUGGUGACCCUGACUCUGGGCUCUGGAAACCCCCUGCCUCCCUUUGUCUCUCUCAGCUAUUGUUAAUCUCUGGGUGGCUUCACUAUCUUUUGUUUGGCUUCCAGCUCUUCUGUCAUCCAACCAAUUCCCUGAAUUGAUUUCUCUUUGAAAAGAAAAUAGAGUGGUUUCCUAUUUGGACCCCGACUGUUAGAAAAAAACAGUUGGGAGGAAAUCAAGUAUAUUUAAAUACUUUCAAAUGAAACAGCCAUGGUUGAAGCAGGGGCCAAGUGGCAUUGUCAGCUGGGAAGCAACCAGAGUUCCUGCCCCAUGUCCAUAGCUGCCAUUUCUGGGGCAUUUUAGGAGACAAGAUGUGUGAACAUCAUCACUUUUCUAAGGAAUUUGUAGGAGUCAUAUCUGCAAGGAAGUCUGAGGGUCUCCAUAUCCACUCCUGCUCCCUUCCUGUUAUCCUCCCCCGAGUAAAUCGUUUGCAUG